AGGCCACAAUGAGGUCUCCCCAGAGCCUUCCCCAAGCUCUACUUCACUUCACUACUUCACUACUCACAAUCGUGGAGAUUCACGAUCCUUGAGGUCCCUUCCAACCCUGGCCAUUCUGUGAUUCUGUGAUACACAGACACGCGUGCUGCACGGAUACAGAUAUAAAUAGUUUGGAUGUUGCAAAGCUUGACAGCUUGCAUACUGUACUUGGUGUCCUACGAUCUGAAAAACAAACCAACAAAAUGCUUCUCCCUUUACUCAGCCUGAUGCUCGGUUUCUAGUGAUACUGUUGUCUCCAGUGCUCGAAUCAUUUUGUUACUCUGACUGGCGCAAUUUGUCGACUAUUAGAGACUGUAGCUAAUGAGACUUGAAUCUAUAGGAUGGUGAUCAGCUCUGUGAUCUACUUAUAAGUGCCUAGAGUUCCUUCAAAACCAAGAAUAUGGAUUUGCUGCGUAGUGAUGUAGUGCUUAGAGCACAGUCUGCCGGUUUUUUUGUACGUUUCAGCCCGCUCGAGGGGAGGGGAUCGUCCCCUCAGCUCUGCCCUUGUGAGGCCCCGUCUGGAGUGCUGUCUCAGCGCGCAUGCGCGGGGCGGUGCCGCUUGCCGGUCUCCAUGGCGGCGGCGCGGUGGCCGCCGGGAGCUUCGCUGUGGUGAAGCGGUGCGGUGCUGCGCGGGAGCGGCUAACAGCUCUCCUCUGGCGCGGGUGCCUUCGGCCGCCAUGAGGAGGACCGCGCGGCCGCCGUCCCUCAGCAGCUCGGAGGGCGAAGAGCCGCUCAGCCAUUCCAGCUGCUCCUUCCGCGAGGAGGAGGAGAGGCCCGGUUCGUUCUCGAAUACGGCCUCCCGCUGGGGAGUGAGCAGGAAGGAGGAUGACUCUGAAAUAACAGAAGCAAAUGAGCACUCGCCUUUGAAAGAUCAUCUUUCACCAUGGGAAGAAUGGUUCAUUGGAAAAGAGAAAGAACUACGUGCCCAUUUACAAGCUAGAGCUGCAGAGGAGAUGAAUAUACAACUCGAGAAAAUGAAGCAAAAGGAAGAAUUUGAGAGAAGGAAAAGGACAGCUGAAAAGAAGCUCAGAGAAUGGAUGCAAAAAAAAAGAGAAGAGGAAAGGAGGGAAAGAGAACGAAAAUUGAGCAAAGAAAUGGCAGAGAAAGCCACAAAGGAACUAGAAAAAAUGCAGUUACAAGAAAAGGCCAAAGUGAAGUAUAAUGAAUGGUUAAAGAAGAAGAGAGCUGAAGAGUCAGAAAAGAGGAAGAAAGAGAAGGAAAAAGAAAAAGAAAGGCAGGUUGAGCUGCAAGAAAAGAGAGAGAGAGCAGAGAAGAUUUUUAAUGAAUGGCUACGUAAUGCUAGAAAUAAACCACGCCCCGUAUUAAAUAGUUAUGGCUUUUCACAUGGGAAGUCUACAGGGCGUCCUGAUGGAAAUUCAUAUCCAGCUCCAGCAUAUUGCAACCCCAUUCCUUGGAAACCAGUACACAUUCCUCCUCCAAAGGAAGAAAGUGCUCAUACCAUGAAGAACAGUAAGAGAUCUGAAUCUUGUCGGUCACAUAAGUUUUCACCUAUGUUUGUAAGUGAAACAAAGACUCCUCAUGCAGCUAUCAAGAAAGGCAGUAAGAUCUCAGAAGGUCACUUCCGUUACUUACUAUGGUGUUCUCUUAAUCUUGUUUGUAGGUGGUGGUAUUUUUUCUCUGCCAAUUUUUCUCUGGAAAGGUUGUCCUGCCUUCAAAUAAAACAUGCUGUUUGAUUCAGGAGAGAGAUCUUUGGAAGAGCAGUCAGUGCUCCUGUUAUCAUUUUCACUGGGAGAUUUUUGUGAGCAAAUAUGGAAUAUUCCAUGCUUCAUUGUUGUGAUCAAGAGGGCUGGGUUCACUGGAAGAAGCCAGAUGAUGGUUAUGUGGUAAUGCAGUUUGCAUCACAGAAGUCCUAUCAUACUGGAAAAUAUAGUCAUGGAGACAUUUGGCAGGGCACAGAAAUGGAACUGAGGCAGACUUCAGGAGCCAACUAAAGAAGUGGAAGUCUUCCCUAAGCUGGUACUCCUGCAAAACUCAGCUUCUGGAAUGGACUGUUGCAAACCCUGAAAGGCUGAAAGUGAAUACUUUUCUGUGAGAGUCACAUUGUGCCAGCCCUCCAACUCUGCACGUUUGUAAAGUGGUUGGUUAUGAAAAGUACCAUCACUCUUAGACAUACAGCAUAAAUAAAAGGAAAGAUUGCUGCUUGGCUUUCUGCCAAGUUUGUUUCCAUUAAGAAGUACUGGAAUCUGAAUUUCUGCAUUUUCUGUUGUUGCUGUUGUGUUGUUUUUCUGUUGUUUUUUCUUUUUAAUAUUUAUUUUUUGAGCACGUAACUGUAGGAUGAUCCUAAAAUUUCACUAUGUGAAAAACUGCUCAGGAAAUUCUAACACACUCUACCAGAUCACUGCAUCCAUGUGCCAGGGAAUGAAUGGAGAACGUUUACAUUUAAGAAGCUCCUGAACCAGAGAUGACAAGUGAUUGAGUAGUGACAUCCUUUUUGGACCCACUCACCAGCCAGUGAUGACAGAAGGCUGUCUGAAUACCUGUUUCUUGCUCGUUAUGGAGAUGUGAUGAAGAUACAGUCCACCUCAGCUUUCUGAGACACAGGUACGCAUGAAUAGAAGCACUGAUGUUUUUUCCAUGCUAGUUUCUGCUUUGUUGGUAUCAGUGGUAUGGUACUGUGGGCUCAGGGCUUGCUGCAUUUGAAAUUGGAGAAAGUGAUUCCCAGGAAUAAACUAAUUUCCUUAGGACAAGAUCUGUGUCCUCAUGUACAUGGCUUUUCAGCUAAUAACUGCUCAGUCAUGCAUUUCCUAUGAGCUUUGUUUUGCUUAGCAGAGGUAUCUCCCACAUGUGAGCUGUGUCAGCUCAGUGAGUCAUGAUAUGGUAUGAUAUCAGAACAACCCUGUUCUAUUGUCAAAACCAACAACUGGCACUGUAAAUUAUACUGCCACUAAUGAAGAGAAUUAGACACACAAAAAAACAUCAUUCAGUUUUGAGGGGCAUAAUCAAACAAAGGGAAUGGAGCAGAUUCUGUUUAGUACCUGGCCACUGUAAUGCAUCUAAAUUCUGUUGUGCAACCUUUGUUUGCAUAAACUGAACAACAUGACUUAUUUGCUCUAAUCAGCAAAGGACUUUGUGGGUGUAUAGGUCUACAUCAACUCAAAGCAUUUGGCAUUCUUCUACUAGCCAGAUAACAUCUCUGACAAGGAGGGCAGUUGUUUGA